CCGGCGUUAGACGAGAUGAGGCCCUUGGAUAAGGGACGGACAGCGGGAUGCUGUUCCGUUGUGGGGGUCGGCGGACAGACCGACAGUGAACAAAUAUGGCGUAUCCAACGCCAGGAACAAGCUGGGGCGAACGGUCGUAGGCUGCACAGGACUUGGAAGGAACAGGAGGUGCACCUGAAGAUCCGGCUCGAAGGACAAUGUUGGCGUGGGGCGUUGGGGGUGAAAGUCCAAAAACCGCAAGGGAAGUAAAAAUGGCGUCUGCUUUCCUUUUCACUGUGACGUGACUCGCACUGGCGCUUAGCUGCCCAUAUGAAAGAGGGAGAGGCCGCCGACGCUAGCAGCGCUCUGCCAGCAGAUGUUGCUGGCAAGCGUUGCCAUGUCAACACUGGCAGAGUGCUGCCACAUCAACAUGCAC